AGCCAUAGUAACGCAGGAUCUGAGCUGCAUCUGCGACCACACCACAGCUCAUGGCAACACCAGAUGCCUGACCUACUGAGCGAGGGCAGGGAUCGAACCCACAUCCUCAUGGAUACUAGUCAGAUUCGUUUCUGCUGUGCCACAAUGGGAACACCCUAGCCUCAGUAUCUUUAGUAAUAAAAUCAAUGUGUAGACUAAAUUAUUUCUUAAAUGGCUACUGUAUUAGUUUUCUAUGCUUCCAUAACCAAAAACUCACUGGCUUAAAACAACACAAAUUCAUCAUCUUAUAGUUCUGGAAGUCAGAAGCCUAGUACAGCUUUUACUUGGCUAAGAUCAAGCCAUUGUCAGGGCUGUGUUCCUCUCUAAGGCUCUAGGGGAAAAUCUAUCUCCUUGCUCAUUCAGGUGUCAGAAUUCAGUUUUGGACAGUUGGGGGACUGAGGUCUCUGAUUCCUCGCUGUCCGUCAGUUCCAGGCCACUUCUACUUCCUAGAAACUUUCCACUAGUCCUUGCACAUAGCUUUCUACUUCUCAGAACCAACAAAGAAAUGAGGAAUCUUUUUCACACUGUCAUCUUCCUUUUUUGGGGAGGUCCUUAACCCUAAUUCUCUGCAAAGUCUCUGGCCAUGUAAUGUAACAUUCAUAGGUUCUGGGGAUUAGGGAGGAGCUACCUUUGGGGAUCAUUAUUUUGCCUUUCAUACAUUCCAUAUAUGUCUCAGAACCUUAGAUUAGUAGCAUCAUCUAGGGAAGAAGGGAGGGGCCUAUCACCUUUGCCUGCAGAAUUUUUUUCACUGCCACAUACCUAUACCCAGAUAUCCUAAUAUGCUACCCUGACUAUCUCUGCUACCCCCAUCAUACACCGGAAAUGACAGGAAAGCAAAAACUGCUCUAAAUCAGGAACCACAAUCUAUUUUUAAUCCUUUAAGAAUACCUGCUAUAAAUUUGCUCACAGUAAGUGCCCAAGUGAAAAUGUUGUCAGUCCUCUAAGCCAAGUUUCCAGAGAUGACAGACGACAGAUGGAUUCAUCCAUCCGGUACCGUGUAGGAUUAAGUCAUUGGACUUUAAAGUCAGACAAUCUAAGUUUUAAUCUUAGUUUUUUAUGUGUUUUUAGGACACAUUGUGCUUUAGGCAAGCAAUAUUCUAAGUCUUAGUUUCCUGAUAUGUAAAACAAGUUUGAUAAUGAUCCUUACAGAGCUGUGUGAGGAGUAAAUAAGAGAGCUGGUAUAAAGCAAACAGUAAAUAGCCUGGCAUAGGGCCAGCCCCUCACUGUCAUCCAAAAAAUGUUUCUUGGGUGCACUGUGCUAAGUGAUACGCAGAUGGCUAUGAUGAUAUAUUGGGUGAUGAUACCAUACUCAUGAGCCAUAUAUUCAGUAAUUCUGCAUGCUCUGUGGUUAAGCUGAGGGUGAAUUUCCUUUCUGCUAGGGCUCAUGGAAAGCCUCAUGGAGGCAAAGUCCUGAAGCCUGGGUGGGUACGGACAGACAGAGGUGGGGGAUGGACAUGGUUGCUUUCUGCUUUAAUGGAAAAGUGCAUCGAUUUGGCCAAUAACAUGAGUGGUACUGCUUAUCCACAGAUUAAUUUCUCCCUAUCUGCUUAAAGAUACAAAAGGAUGUCCUACUCUCCCGUAUACCAUGAUUCAGCUUCAUGGGUAACACAUUUCCACCAAAAAGCAAUUCUCCCACUAUCACACUGCCUAGUUUUCCCUCAGCCUGAGACACUGUUUCUCUUUCUUUCUUUUUUUUGAGGGCUGCACCUGUGGCAUAUGGAGGUUCCCAGGCUAGGGGCUGAAUCGGAACUGUAGCUGCUGGCCUACACCACAGCCACAGCAACACCAGAUCCGAGCCACGUCUGUGACCUACACCACAGCUCACAGCAACACCAGAUCUUUUAUCCACUGAGCAAGGCUAGGAACAAAACCUGCAUCCUCAUGGAUACCAGUAAGAUUCAUUUCCACUGAGCCAUGACGGGAACACCUAUUUCUCUUUCUUAAAGAGUCAAUGAGGAAUUCUCAUCAUGGCGCAGUAGGAAUAAGUCCAACUAGUACCCAUGAGGAUGCAGGUUCAAUUCCUGGCCUUGCUCUGUGGGUUAAGGAUCCGGCAUUGCCGUGAGCUGUGGUGUAGGUUAUAGAUGUGGCUUGGAUCCCUUGUUGCUAUGGUUGUGGCCUGCAGAUGGAAGCUCUGAUUCGACCCCUAGCCUGGGAACUUCCACAUGCUGUGUGCUCAGCCCUAAAAAAAAAAAAAAAAAAAAAAAAUUAAAGGGUCAAUUCAAACAUUACUUCCUCCUGAAGCACUUUUCUUAUUCUCCCAGGCAGAACUGAGUUUCUCACUAUUGUGUGCUUCCACGACACUUUGUACAGAAUUUUAUUGUUGUACUAAUCACACUAUAUUGUAAUUAUUUAUAGAUUUGUAACUCCUUCCCUACUUUCCCUUAAGGAAAAAAAUGCAUUCUUCCGGAAAUUUUGUCUUACUUACCCAAAGUACCUCCUUGGAUGGUUAUUCACACUGACAGCAUUCCCAGGACAAGUAAACUGUGGUCUUGUGGGGAAUGCAUUAAGCAGAAUAAGUGGAUAUUUUGUGUGUGUGUUGGCGGGGGAGGUGGAAGACAGCAUAUCCUUGAAAACACAGAGCAAGACUGCCCUGUAUUUAGAUUCUAGAUACUAGUUACACACAUGUGGAGGGAGUGGGGAAUCAUUUGAUGUUUCCUGGUGACCUGGGGGAGAGACUAGACUGCCUCAUAGCACUGGUCUGCCUCCCCUCCUCCAGUGAUGCCCCGUGGCCUGUUUUGUGGAGGGGGCUUCAUAACCUAUCCACGAUUUUAGUGUCCUGCUAGUGUCAAUACAGCCACAGGAAGUCAAGGGUCACAACAAAAGAUGCACCAAUUACUUCCAUUUAUUAAUUUACUAAGUAUCAGGUACUUUUAAGAGUGCUUAGCUACAGUGGAUCAUUUAAUUCCCAAAACGAGUCUGACAGAUGGCCAUUAUUAUCCCCAUUUUAUGGCUCAGGAAGGCGAAGUGAUUUUUCUCAAGGUAUUGUGGGUAGCCUGCAGAUUUGAGUGUCAGUGCAUUUUUACACACAUUCCUGUGUCUGAAAUAAUCUGAUGUAAUUCAUUUUUGGAGUCAGAGAGGCAGGUACCAGAAAUACCUUCAUAAGGGCACUGUCAGUGGACAUAGCAAGGUCAACAACUAUCAAGAGAUGAGCAUUGACUUGUGAGGGAGGCCAUCAGACUUCCCACCACUCAUCCCUACCUUGCAACUCACAAUGUUUGGCUUCCAGGGUACCUAGUGGAGAUGGCAACAAUCUAAAUACCUCACAGAGAAGCAGCCCAGGAUCUUGGGGCUGCAAAUUCUGGUGAAGAUGGGCCAUAAGGAAGAGAACUCUUUCAUCUGGAUGAAAGCGUGCCCACCACACCAUCAUUUGAGCACUAAAGUGAGUGACUCUGUGCCCUAACCCUCUUUGACUCACCACAGAGGAGGAGGUUAAGCUGUUAAUUUCAUUUUGGAGGGCAAGAAUGAGUUCAUUCACUUGAUCAAGGGAUGGAGCAUAGUCAGAUACCUGGCAGUUAUAGAAUGCUGGAGGCCUCUCAACUCUAUCUGGAGAACAUAAGCUUGGGAGUCAGCUUUGAUUCUCUGAAUGGCCAAUUAGUCGGGACAAUGCUUUAAAGUUGUCUGUGAGUGAAUUUCAUUUGCACUAUGGGGCAGCUGGACUGCCCUUCCUGACACACUGAUUUGGGGUCAAGUUCCAAUACCUGAAGUCUUACAAAAUGUUCUCUGUUCUGUCCCUCCCCCUCCCCCAAACCUACCUUUUUUAGCCUCACUGUCUGCCUGUUAAACUGUGCCCUACACAACAAAAAGGAGAAUCAUGGUACACCGGGUGACACUGGAAUUCUUGAGGGCAGAAUGCAUAGGUCCCCAAUUUUUUUUUUUUUUCCCACCUGAGAAAUUUCUAGAGCAGGAGGGAAAACUCAAACAAAGAGCAGGAAUAAAAGAUUUAAACCUUAGAAAGAAGGAAUAAAGCAGGUCUCUGUCAAAAGAGGAAAACAGAUAGAAAGCUUGGAUAAAUAUAAUGAUGAUCAGAACUGAAUGGCCAGUGAUGGGGUCUCUGUUCCAGAGGAGUGAAGAGCAGUUUGAAAGUUCGUUCUUAGCACCUCCCCCAGCUUUCUCAGAGGACAGCAUCCUACUCAUUUUUCUUCCACACUUUUGUUUAUGCAAGUCAUCACAUCUUGUUUUUUUUCCCUUCUACUUCAUUUUUCGGGGAUCCCCAAAAGUAUUCUUUCCUUCUGAAAGCCUUCUCAAAUUACAAAAGACUUUGUUAAUCUUGCCUCUUCCAAAUGGAUUCUAAGUUUUUGAGGGCAGGGUUAAUAUGUGGCAAAGACUUAUCCUAUUCUCCAUGGAAACACAAGAAGACCACAUUUUUCAGCUCCCUUGCCACUAACUGGGGCCAUAAGACCAGCUCUGGCCAAUGGAAUAGAUGUAAAAACACUUUUAUGACUUCACGCAUACAAGAUUCCCCAUGUGUGAUAUUGUUUCUUCCUUUUUAUCAGGGACCUUGAAAGCUACCUGUGGAAGAUGUCAGUGUUUCAAGAGGAAAAGAUUCUCAAUCCCUGAGCCAUUGGUUUGAGAAGAGCUGCACAGGAGAAUUUUCCAACCAACAACAUUCACUUCAGAUUUCAUAUAAAAUAAGCAUGUAUUGUGUUAAACUACUUAAAUCUUGGAAUUUUUGUUAUAGUUGCUGACAGUGAUUACUCCCAAAUUCUACGUAUUCUAUUCAUUUAACAGAUUCUAUUCAUUAAAUAGGUUAAUACUAAAAAAAUGUUAUUAUAAUUUCUAUUUCUAUCAGCUACUACUGUGCAAAACCAUUCCAAAGCUAAGUGGUUUAAAAUGACAUUAAUGUUCUUGGUUCAUGAUUCUAAUGGUAGGCAACUUAGGCUGGAGUGAACUGGGUGGUUCUUUAGGUCUUGGCUGAGAUCAAAUAUAUAUCUGCAGUUAGAUGUGGCUCCCCUCCUAGGGUACCUUAAUUCUUCUCCAUGUGAUCUCACACAUUCCAGAAAGAUAGUCUGGGCUUAUUCUCAUGGAGAAUGCAGGAGAGUAAAGGAGAGAGUGAGAAAGGCAAGGCUUCUUCAGGCUUAGAGUUAAAACUGGCACAAGAUUAUUUCUGCCACAUUUGAUUGUCCAACCCAGACUCAAAGGGAGAGGAAAAAGACCCAAUUUCUUGAAGAGAGAUGCUGAAAAGUCACAUUGCAAAGGGAUUUAAAAAAAAGCAGUAUUGCAGCCAUUUAUUGCAAUCAAUUUACUAUAUCUUUAUCACUUUUAUUACUAUGACUUUCUAGUAAACUCAUUUUAACUGACUGUCAUCUAUGGGCCAGGUGGUGUUCUAGCUAUUAGAGAAAAGAAUUUAGUAAGUUAUCACUAUCUUUGUCUUUGAAGGCCUUACAGUCUAUUAGUAAUAAUAAUUGUUAAUAUUUAUGGAAUAAUUACCUAUUGCCAGGCAGUAUUCUAAGUGUUUAUAUGUAUUAACUUUUGAAACACGCACAACAGCAUUGUAUUAUCUCCAAUUUAUGGUUAAUGAAACUGAGACACAAGGAACUUAAUUAUGUGCCCAAAUCCACACAACUUUAAGUACCAACUAGAUUUAAGCCCAAGGCAAGUUAACUCAAGUGGUUAUGCGUUUAUCCACUGUCCUACACUGUUUCUGCCUAUCAGAAUCCUAAUGAUUGACAGAAACAGGCAUAGAGUGUAAUGGGAAGAUUUCAUAGAAAGAAUGAUACUGAGACAAAGUCUGAUAGAAGAGUGGGAGUUUACCAGCCACAGCACAGGAAAUACUAAUGAAAUCUGCCAAUGAAUGGAUUGACAGAAUUAUUGGUUAUUGAGCAUGUGGCUUGAUUUUAAAUGACCUUGAGUUAGUAAUUAUUCUGGGUUAUCAGAGGCAAAUACAACUCAAACUGAAUUAAGGAACACAAACAAAGUGGGCAUUUAUUUUUUUUUUAUUACUCAAAGAAUUUAUUACAUUUAUAGUUGUACAAUGAUCAUCACAAUCCAGUUUUAAAGUAUUUCAAUCCCACAUCCCCAGUGCAUCUCCCCACCCCCCAAACUGUCUCCUUUGGAAA
rnacentral:lncRNA from 1 species